GACGAACGCUGGCGGCGUGCUUAACACAUGCAAGUCGAACGGAAAGGCCCUGCUUUUGUGGGGUGCUCGAGUGGCGAACGGGUGAGUAACACGUGAGUAACCUGCCCUUGACUUUGGGAUAACUUCAGGAAACUGGGGCUAAUACCGGAUAGGAGCUCCUGCUGCAUGGUGGGGGUUGGAAAGUUUCGGCGGUUGGGGAUGGACUCGCGGCUUAUCAGCUUGUUGGUGGGGUAGUGGCUUGCCAAGGCUUUGACGGGUAGCCGGCCUGAGAGGGUGACCGGCCACGUUGGGACUGGGAUACGGCACAGACUCCUACGGGAGGCAGCAGUGGGAAAUAUUGCACAAUGGGCGGAAGCCUGAUGCAGCAACGCCGCGUGCGGGAUGACGGCCUUCGGGUUGUAAACCGCUUUCGCCUGUGACGAGGCGUGAGUGACGGUAAUGGGUAAAGAAGCACCGGCUAACUACGUG
rnacentral:rRNA from 1 species